GCUUCGUCAUUCAAACCAAGCAGUUGAAUUACACCAUAACAACACGUGGCUUGCAAAGAAGCCUCAUCGACAGCUUACUGCACUUCGAACAGAGCGGUCCGUGGACGGAAGCUGUCCCGGCUAGCGGACAACCUCACCUUAAAGUGAUUCAUACGUAUAACAAGUUCAUGGACAGAGUAGGGGUGGAAUUGGCCAACAACGAAGCGUU